rnacentral:rRNA from 1 species
AGUGAACGCUGGCGGUAGGCCUAACACAUGCAAGUCGAACGGCAGCACAGUAAGAGCUUGCUCUUACGGGUGGCGAGUGGCGGACGGGUGAGGAAUACAUCGGAAUCUACUUUUUCGUGGGGGAUAACGUAGGGAAACUUACGCUAAUACCGCAUACGACCUACGGGUGAAAGCAGGGGAUCUUCGGACCUUGCGCGAUUGAAUGAGCCGAUGUCGGAUUAGCUAGUUGGCGGGGUAAAGGCCCACCAAGUCGACGAUACGUAGCUGGUCUGAGAGGAUGAUCAGCGACACUGGAACUGAGACACGGUCCAGACUCCUACGGGAGGCAGCAGUGGGGAAUAUUGGACAAUGGGCGCAAGCCUGAUCCAGCCAUACCGCGUGGGUGAAGAAGGCCUUCGGGUUGUAAAGCCCUUUUGUUGGGAAAGAAAAGCAGCAGGUUAAUACCCCGCUGUUCUGACGGUACCCAAAGAAUAAGCACCGGCUAACUUCGUG